GGGGCGAGGGGGAGGGGACAUCUCCGCGGCCUGUCACUUGGCCGCAGCCUUACCGCCGGCCCGCAGCCCCUGGCUCUGACUUGCGCUUCCGUGUCCUGAGACCCUCUUCCCGCACCCCACCUUCCGCUGCGCGCGAGCCUCUUCCGGCUUCCACACCGCUCCGGGCCUGUUUCCGCUCCUGAGAUACCUAUAUGAAGAUCCAAAGUAUAAAGAAGAAAAAGAAAUGACAGUACUGUUCUUCCCUCAGCACCAAUGAUCUUCCGCUUUUCUGAUUUUUCAUAUUUAGUAACACCAAGGAGUCAUAGUGAGAUGCAUUAAUAACGCUGGCAGGUUUAUAUAGUAGUCUCUGAAGGCAGAAAAUAAAAGGGGUAUAGCAAGCAUUUUUAAGUCAGGCCAGGGAAAACGUUUCAAAUUUUUAUCUGAAAUAUUUAGACAGUGCUUUCUAAUGUACUCCUAACUAUAGCAAAUAUUAAUUUCCAUUCACAAAACCCAUGAAACCCAUGAUUUGAUCUGCUUCUGGGGAGGGUGACAGGAUUGGCUUGAGUUUACUUUGGCAUCUUUGGCUUGCCAGCAAAUUGUGGGAGCUUGGCUUCAUUUUAAUGGUGUGUAUGCCUUUAUAUACACACACUUUUGACUGUGUACCAAGUCUCAUAACUGCUGUACAAACAGUAUGUGUGGAGUCCAAGGGAAUUCAGCGGUGCUGGGUAAGUCAUAAGCCUGGAGACAGAGCAGUUGGGCCCAGUACUUAAUUAUUUAAAGUCCAGAAAAUAAGGCUCUGAUCUUCAGACCUCCAGCAUACAGUAUUAUAAACACACAUAGCUCACAACAUGUAUUUUUUAUAAGUGAAAUAGAAAUGAAUUAUGUGGUGAUUCAUGCAAUCAUGAAUACCGUGAAAUCUCUAAGAUGAGAAAAAUAUUCUAUACUAAUACUAGUAUUUGAAAUUCAAUGUACUUGACCCCAGAAGCUGAAUUCUUCAUAUAUACUGCAAAUGUCUUCUGCCUGCUUAAAUAGGUUAAAACUUUUUUGUAUGAGUAUUUUGCUUACAUUUAGCUCAAUAUGUGCAGCAUGAAAGUGCAGGAUAUCUGCAGAGGUCAGGAGAGGGCGUCAAAUUGCCUGGAACAGGAGUGACAGGAAGUGGUGAGCUUCAGCGUGAAUGCUAGGAUCUGAAGCUGGUCCUUAACAAGAACAGAUGUGUUCUUCACCACAGCCCCAUCUUCGGCCUCUUCAACAGGUUUAACCCUUAUGCUUUCUUGUUCAGCUCAUGUUUAGAUAGCUUAUGUUGGCAAGACUUUAUGGGUGUAGCUUCGGCCAUUGCUAGGAGAUAUAAUAUCACAAUAAACUCAUGGAUCCUCUGGCUCUAAUGGUCUUUCUGUUCCCUCUUCUGCAAUGUUCCCUGUGCCUGAGGUACAGGAAUUGUAUUGUAGAUGUAUCCAUUGACUGAGCUCCACAAGUCAAUGAUUGGGUCACCAGGUUGUUGCAGGAAAUACUAAAAAGAUCAUCAAGUUCCCAUGCUAUGCCAGGCACUGGUGGGCCACGUGGCUCCAGCCAAGUGUUCUCAUCUUGGCAGACUCUCUGGCCCAGAGCUCCCGAAAUGUCUCUGCCCAACUAGAGACCCUUGCCGGGUCUCUGCCAUGACAGACACAUUCAAUAACUUCCCACCUCAAGGUUAGUUGUCACAAUUCCCAGUAAUGCAGUAAAAUCAAAAUUCUAGAAGCUUAUAAUUAACCAGUCAUAUUUAUAUACCAAUAAAUUCUCAAUUCACAAGAUGCUCACAUAAUUUCAGAGCCAAUUGAUAAUGAUACAAGCUGCCCACCUAGAUUAGACCAGUUAUCCCAAGUAUUCUAUCCUCUAUGAUAUUUAUAGCUGCCUUGGCUAUUUUAAAGCCAUGUGGAAUCUGUAUCAUCUUCCUCUUAUUCCAUCUUUCCUCCUUUCUCUUUCUCCUAUAUCUCCCUCUCUGCAACUCAUCACACUGCCCACCCUUUCCCUAUCCAAUAACAGGCUUCUUCUUGUAUUAAUAAUCAAACUAAUUAGGGGAAAUCCUGUUACAUAUCACUCUGUCCAAAUUAAAAAAAAAAAAACCCUUUGCUCUCAAGUAUAAAUUGAGCACAACAUUACCAUUUUUUUAAUUUAUAAGGUACAAGAUAGACCGAAUACCCAAUCUAUCAUUUUUGUCAAUAAAAAUAGAACACUCUGUCAUCUGUCCUAACUUAAAAGACUUAUAAUUCUAUACAUGACUUAUGUCCUGGCUUAGAUUGUAUGCCAUCAGAAAACCAUCCUCUCAAAUCUGUUCAAUAUUAAAUAGCCUGGGUUGGCUAUGAAAUUAUAAGUAGUCUAUCAACUCGAUCAGAAAUCUGAGAAUGACCAACAUAUCUGAAGAUAAAGGAAGCCUAACACAGCUUCCAGAACUGAGAAAAGUUGUAGAGACAGCUGCCUACCCAUAUAGCCCCAGUAAGUCAGGAAGUUUGAGCAUCAGUCUUCAGCCUUCUGGCCCGGGAUCAUCUGACAGACCUUUGAAAAACAGGAAUUGUUAAGGACUAGCCUAGUCUGUCUCAGCAGAACUAAGCUGUCCUAACCUCUAACUUGUGUCCUCUCAAGAAAGGUAUAUGUCUGCAGGAGAGAUAGGCAAUUUCUGUCCAGUGACUACCUAGCCAAAAUAUAUCACCUCACCUGGAGGUAUAGAUGCUCAGCUGCUUAUUUAAAUCCACAAAUGGGAAGCUGUUAGGAACAGAUUUGUCUCAACAACAAGUGAAUAAAUAACAUUAAAUGUCACAUUCUGUGGAUUUUUGAAGUUUUUUUGAAAACCAACUAUCUAUGUAAUCUUGACUGUUGUCCAUCAAUUACCCUUUAAUUAGCUAUUUCUAAUUAAAACCUCUGAAAACACCCUAGCAAUAAACUCAGAGCCAUGAAUUCAUUAUUUGUCCCUUAACUCAUAGGCUUACACAUCUCAGAUCAGUUUAUAAUGGCAUUUAUAGAAGGACUGGUUCCAAGCUUUGUACUUACAAAAUUUUGUAUCAACACAAGAAGUUUAUACCAAUGAAACUUUCAUUCUGUAUUAAAAUAAAUUCUAUACCAAAAUAAGAAAUUAUGACUUCAACUUAGUAACAAUUAUAAAGAUUUCUACCAAGUGAGAUCAUGGCUAUACAAUCAAUUCUAGCUAUUUCCUCCCUGUUCCAAUUAUGACAAUUUCUAAAUUCCCCAGAAAGACAACUAAGAUAACCACCUCCAGCCCGAAAGCCCAGGGAAAUGGGACAACAACUCUUCAUAACUUCUUGAAGCGCAAUAUGGGUGUUGAGAUAUUUUUGAAGGAGGGAAAGGUAGAGAAAAUGAGGGAGUUGGUUGGUCUUAAGAAGGCCAUACCAAUGAUUGUAUUAGUGUCUGAUGUCUGUGUCCUGACUGGAUCUGGAUGAAAAACCAAGACAUCAGGAGUUCAAGCAGAUCAGUUCAGCAUGUCUGACUGUGAGACUCACCAAGGCUGUAUAUUCUGUAAUAUACAAAUCUCAAAACAAAAUUCUAGUAUCAUCAAGAUGACUUUUUUGUUUGAUUCUCUGGAAUCUAGUUCUCUGGGGGUCUCCCUCUGUCAAAUCUGAUCUAUAUUACUCUGGAAGGUGGAUAGACACUAAUCACCUUUUCUAAAAACGCAAAGACAAAACCUUUCUCCCAAACGAGCAUAACUUUGAGCCAGUAACCAGAAAAACCUUUAUAUUGACCUUUCUCCCAGAGGAAUAAUAUAGCCACAAAACUCAAAAUCACACCCAUUUUGAAAAUUAAAACAAUACAAAACAAAUGAAGUAAACUAAAAUACUGUAUAAGACUAUUCUUAGACCUUUUCUAUUUUGCCAUGUAGGAUAAUAACCCAAGAUUCUCAUGGAGCCCACGUUAGACAGAUUUUGAGUAUCCCGUAAGGCAUAUUAGAGCAAUAUAUCUCUAUACCAUCUUUCUUUCAGCUCUCUGCCUAGAGCAGCCAUCUUGUUAUACCAUCUAUCUGUUUGCCUAUCUGCCUGGAGCCACAGACAUUAUUAAUGAAUACCUGUUUAUAAUUAUUACUGUCCUCUCUACUUGGAGUCAGUGACUAAUUUUCCCUCUCCUAGUACUGAACCCAAGCAAAAAUCCACAUGUGAUUUGGAAAAAUCUGUAUGUUAAUCUUUCCUAAAAGAAAAUAAUCCCAAUUUUAUAAAUUCACAGUUCAAUCAACCUCUGCCCUAAGAAGUAGGCAACUUCCAUCCUCCUUCUGACUCAGAGCAGCUUGCAGUCCCCACAGCAGGGGACCUCAGAACCUGCUUUCUUUGUUUCAGUUCCUAUGCUUGAGUCCAAGUGACUUGAUACCCAGCUACUCACUUAAAAUAAAAUAAAAUAAAACUCUCAGGAUAAUAAUAUUACAUUUCUAGUGGAUUCUUGCCCAACACGUUGGUUCACCACCUGCUUCAAAAAAUAUUUUAAAAAAAGAGUAUGGCAUUUUCCCAUGCUACUAACCCUUUCAUAUCCAGGGGAUGAUACAUAUAAGAACAUGAGUCAACCAUAUUUGUUUAUACAUUGGAGCAAAUUAAACCUUCAAACGGUCUCUACAUUGUAUAGAGCAUUUCCAAUAAAAAAAUCUUUUUAGAAAAAGUGAGAUCUCUUCCUUUCUACAAUCAUAUCACAGUCCAUACAUUGAAAUGUUAUUUUUGAAUGGCCAGAAAUCUUCAUUGAAGGAGUGCUGUAUUAAAACACACACACACACACACACACACACACACACACACACACACACACACACACAAAACAAUGAAAUAAAAUAAAUUCCUCAUCAAAUGCCAUAAUCUGAACUGUUUCUCAAAGAGAAGUGCUUGACAUCUGUUCCCCAGAUUGUGGUGUUAUUGGGUGGUAGUGUAUUUGUUAAUUGGUGAGGCCACUGGGGGCCUUAAAUCAUAGUGUGUUCUCUCAGAGAGAAUUAUGGGAAUCUUAUGUCUCUGAUUACUUCCAACCAUCAGGAGGUGAGCAGCUUGCUCCAUUCAUGUACACUGCCCUACAAAACUAGUCUUUGUUCCAGAAGGAAUAGAGCUAACUGGUCCUGGACUAUAGUCUCCAGAAACAUGUACCAGAAUAAACUUGCGUUGCUAUAGGUUGAGUUAUUUCAAAUUUCAUCACAAGAGUCAAAAUCUCACUGAUGUCAGUGAGAAGGGCUCUAAUUUCACGGGUACAUUACAUCUUGACAGACAUAUUAGCUCGAUAAUCAAUAAACAAAGGUAUUUCCCUUUCCUGUCGUCAUUAUUCAUAUUUUAGAUAUGCUUCUUUUGACAAUGUUGGAAGCUGGGUUUCAGGAAAGAAGAGACUUUCGAUGGGGAAGAAGCUGUAUUUGUAAGGAAAACAUGGCUGUGCCAUCUUAACACCAGCCAACAAGUGUUUAUGAGGUAAAUUUAGUAACACAGAAUACAUCAAGACAAACCAGCACUUUCACCUCUACUGAAAAUUAAAUAAAAUACCUUCCUCAGCUAUUACUCAGAAGUGUCAUUCUGAAGUUUACGGAGCAUUGUUAAUCUAGUGCUGGGGCAUAAUUAUGGUUUGGGCUGAGAGUUGACCUCCCUCAUCACUGCACUGCCUGCCCCCUGUCUGUAUUCCCUCCCCGUGCCUGGUUUGUGAUAGUUCAGAUACUUGUAAAUGAGCUUCCAUCCCAAGAAGGCUCAUUUCCCAUAAUGAAAUAAGGUGCCACAUCUACCCACUAAUGACACUUACAGAACGAUGUUUCGCUUGAUAUGUGCUCAGAAAUGAACUCUCAGGCUUGCUUGCAUACAUUACAUCAACUGUAACUUUAGAACUUCAUUUGAAUUGCCUAAUAUGUAUGUGGUGCUGGAAGCUAAAUCCUGAAAUUUGCCCAUUUCAAAUGAGAACUAUACUGACUGAACCAAACCUCAUACCUAGGUAUUUUAAUUUAUGAUCUAAAUCUGUACUGCUUUGAAAUUGUCUUUUACUACAUUAUUAAAUUUCAUAAACUACACUACAAAUCUGGAUAUCUUAGACCUUUAAUAAGUAUUUUUUUGAUCUAGUUUUGAUCUUGAAAUACCCUGCCCCUGCAAUGGUCAAUGUGUUUCAAGCUUGGUCUGAAGGAUGUCACUGCUGCGAGAUGGUAGACCCUUUAUGAAAUGAGCUCAGUCACUGAGAGGCUCUUAGGCCACUGAAAGCAUUCUUUUAAGGAGAUGGUAACACCCUGGUCAUUUUCUCCUUGUUUAAUUCUUAAUCAUGAGAUGAAGAUACAGGAAAGUCUAGCUCACUAUGGGUGAUAUCACCCCUGUGUUGAUGGUCCUUAAUUCUAUAAGAAAGCAAGCUGAGCAAGCCAUAAGGAGCAAGCCAGUAAGCAGCACCCCUCCAUGACCCCCACAUCAGCUCCUGAUUUCAAGUUCCAAUUCUUCUUGAGUUACUGCCCUGACUUCCUGUGCUGAUUUUUUUUUUCUUGGUAGAAUUGUAAGGAAAUAAAACCUUUCCUCCCCAUGUGGCCUGUGGCCAUGAUGUUCUAUCACAGCAAUAGAAACCCUAACUCAGACAGUACCCUGAAAAGACAGAACCGAUCAUAAUUCCAUCAGGAAGCCACUGAAGAGUGAAACUGCAAGUGUCAGAGUCAACUUUGUAUCCCCGGGUGGAUGUUGGCUUCUGAAACAAGCAAUUCAAGGCCCAACUAAACUGAUCAUCAUUUUUGAUGUAACUAAAUUCAAGACUACCAUCUUAAUUAGACUUUAUAAUACAUGCUCUGUCUACUGCAUGAAAGUACCUGAAACUCUCUAAGCAUUGAACAAAACACACUAUAAAAGUGAUAGAGAAAAGGAAGAGUGAAGAUGAGACAAAGGCAGAUUUCCAUUUUGUGACAUGCUAUUCGUUACCUCAAAGCAAAGAGCAUAGUACUUGGAAAAUAGCAGCAAUUGCUUCCUUGUGCUGCAUUUAGACACCAACACUCAGAAAAAUAGUAAUGGUACCAUGUUUCUGUCAUCUACUUACCAUUUCAUGGAACAUAUCAUGCAAGCUACGAGCCAGCUCUAAAGAAUUUAAAAUGUAAGCUUUAGUAUUGCUCUUAAUGUAUCUGUGAAAAAAAAUUGUAAGUAGGCAGGUAAAAGAUACAUGCAACAAUUGUAUAUAUAGCUAGUUAGGCCUAGCAGUCAAAUCCAGGAUUAGUCAACUCUAAGUUUCAAAGCCAUUUAAUAAUGCCAUUAAGUAAUUUGUCAAAAUAGUAUCUCAUAUUCUUUGUAUAAGGAAUAUCUGAGAGACAGAUAAAGGCUACUAUAUUGUAUCUCUUUUCAAAAUGUAUAGUACAGAAGCUAGAGACAUUACCCAGUGGUUAAGAGCAUCUAUUACCCUUGUAGAGGCCUUGUACACGGGCCCACAGCCAUCAGUAUCUCCAGUUUGAGAUACCCACUCUUUUCUUCUGACUUCCACAGGCAUCAGCAUGCACAUGGUGCAUAUACAUACCUGCAGGCAGAGCAGUCACACACAGAAUAAAAUAAAUAAAUCUAAAAGUAUUUAUAUGGAUAGAUUUAAAAUUAUUUGAUUACAGCAGAAUGAAAUUUAACAGAGCCCAGAUAGACAGUUUUAGUGAACAUGAGCAGCACAGCUGGAAAGAGAAUGGAGACAGGAGGAGUUCUCUGAGUUGGAGUUUGAACAGUGCUCAGCAUGUGUAUUCUUUUUUUUCCUAUUUAUUUAUUUAUUUAUUUAUUUAUUUAUUUAGGUAUUUUCCUCGUUUACAUUUUCUUUUUUUCCCCAUUUUUAUUAGGUAUUUAGCUCAUUUACAUUUCCAAUGCUAUACCAAAAGUCCCCCAUACCCACCCACCCCCACUCCCCUACCCACCCACUCCCCCUUUUUGGCCCUGGGGUUUCCCUGUACUGGGGCAUAUAAAGUUUGCGUGUCCAAUGGGCCUCUCUUUGCAGUGAUGGCCGACUAGGAGAAACUGUCUUCUGUAGGCAUUCAGGAGUAGGGUCUCUCUUCUGCAGUGGGUAAAGCUUGAUUAUAGGACUUCGAAGUCUAUCCUCACAGUGAUAAACUUCCUCCAACAAGGCCACACCUCUUAAUAGUGCCACUUCCCAUGGACCAAGCAUCUUCAUAUUUCUUCAGCAGGUAAGCAUCUUACAACUGAGCUACAUCUCCAGCCACAAUUUAUCAUUCUUAUAUUAGUGUUGUUUCAGGGAGUUUACCAGAGAUGACCAUUCAAACACAGUUUAUAGCCAAUCGAUAAUCUUUGUUCCAGUCAUCUGAGACCAUACCCAAGUGUUUGGAAACCUGAUGUAGAACACAGUGUUUUUAAAGGUAGAAACCAUGUCCUGGCAUCUUGCUCAUCAACUAGAGGGAGCUUUGUAGAAGCAAGCAGUUUAAUAGAAGCAGUUAGCUGGAGGAAGAAGUUUGCACAAAAAAAAAAAAAAAAAAAAAAAAAAAGACCAAAAAAAACAAAAAAAACAAAAAAAAAAACCCAACAACAACAACAAAAAAAAAACAAGACAAAACAAAACACUUUAAAGAAGCUAAUUUAUAUUAGGUAGGACGUCCUGACCUUGUGUUCUGAAUGGGGUUUGGUUGUUUUCCAUGGGAUUCUCUGUCAAGGAAUUUAAAUUCUAAAUAGAUAAAUCUUAAAUGACCUCAGCAAUGAUUCAAGAUGGAGGAACCUUUGCCUUGUUGUGGGAAGCCAACUCCAAGACGGUGCCCGGGCGCCGUUUUCCAGUUGCUGUUGUCAUAAACAACACCACUGUGCAGGCGUCAAUUCUAAUUUGGCACCAACCCCUCCCGAGUGGGUGCAUGCAAAUUGGGUGCCGGCAGACUGACCAAUCCCAGGGGGCCACGGAACCUUUUCCUGUGCUGGGGUGCAUAUAAGCAGGGCUCCCUGGGCACCCAGGGUCCCCGUAGAAGCAUAGACGCGUUCCUGCAAUAAAGGCUGUUGAGAAGAAUCCGACUGUGUCAUGUCGUUCUUGCUUGUCGAGAGCAGACACGACAUAAUGUGGCCCGUACGGGGACACGAGGAUCUCGUGGAUUCAGAACUCUUCAGCCAGGGAAUGGCGGUACCAGUAAGUCUCCCAAAUUGAUCCCUGGGUUUAAGGGAAAUAUGUUUUUCUCGCCCAUAGACCCAGUGUGGGUAGCUCUUAUCCUUGUUUCGUUUUCUGUAAUUUGUGGCCUCUGCUUUUGUUUGACAGAAACAGUUAAGACAGGUCAGAAAAUUCUUACAGAACAACAAGAACACAUGUCAGAAGAGGACAAAGAGCGUAUGAGCAAGAGAAAGAAAAAGGGUGAGAAAGAAAAAGGAAAAGAAAAGGGAGGAAAAAUAAAAGGAAUCGGUGAUAAAGAAAAGGAAAUAGUGAAGAGAUAUCUCUCUUUAAAGGAUUUAAGUUUAUCAAGCUCUGCUUCCAGUGACUCGGAGCUUAACAAAGAUGAUGAAGCUGACCUAGAGGAAGAGUCAGCUCGGUAUGAGAGGGAAAGGUAUGACCUGGAUUGGUCAUAUAGAACCAAGCCAAUGAAAAGGGGAGCAUUGGCUAAUAAAAGAACAAAACCAAAAGUGCCGACAGCUUCACCUUACAACCCUGAUUACACAGGAGAAAAGAAGUCCGCUAGGGCUGUUAGACCAGGUACCUCCUUCUGCCCAGAGGUGUGGAAAGAAAUAGGAUUAACCUUUCCGGUUUUUGUUAAUGGACAAGGGCAGCAGUAUCACGAGCCAGUGGAUUUUAAAACUAUUAAGCAACUGGCUGAGUCAGUCCGUACCUACGGGGUGAGUGCAGCCUUUGUAGUUGCACAGGUCGAGGCACUUGCUAGAUAUUGCCUCACCCCGGGGGACUGGAACAAUAUAGCUCGGGCGUGCCUAUUUAGAUUAGUCAGUAUUUAGAUUGGAGGUCUUUGUCAUAUGAACAUUCAAACAGUCAGGCAGCAGCAAAUUUAGCCACAGGACAAGAUCCCCAGAGACAUUGAGAUGCAGAUAUGCUCCUGGGUCUGGGGCGCUUUGCUUUAGAUCAGACAAAUUAUCCUAAAAGAACAGGUUGAAGAAUUGUAUAAAGUUGUCCAAAUGUCCUGUGUCUCAUCUCUUAAAGGUUUUUGUUACUCCUCUACAAGCUAAUUUCUCUCAGUCUCUUGAACAGAGUCGCCUCUUAUCUGACUACCUUAAAAGAAAUUGGUCGGCUAAGCGGAGCAGUUGUCCAGAAAGCUGCUCCUCCAGAUUGCCAAACUCAACAGCACUUGACUGGACCCCGUCACCUUGGGGGACUUCACCUCCUGGAUCACCAUUGCCUUCUCAUUUUUUAUUUUUUAAGGAAUGGGCGAGAAUGUUGGCCUGGGGGGGGCAGUGGUCCUCCUGGGUUGUGUCUUCUCAUCUGGCUAUUGUGUCAGCUAAAAAGAGAGCAUGCACAACAUAAAGCAGUGGUGUACCAAGCUCUGUUGGCAAUUGAAGAUGGCGCAUCUCCCAAUAUUUGGCUGGCCUCUUUGAAAAACUAAGAGUUCGCCCUAAGUCAUUUGGCAAUUGUAGUCACGGUAUCCAGAGAUGGGCAACUUUCCUUGUGCACAAACCAACCUAAGACACGGGGCAUGGAGGCGAUAGGGCAACCCUAUGAUGGGUAAGGCUGUGACACUAGAAGAUUGACCUAAAACAGGAGCCGUAGCCAAUGGACAGAUUUGCCGAGACCUAGUCCAGCAUCAUUAAACAAAAAAGGGGGAGAUGAGGGAAGCCAACUCCAAGAUGGCGCCGGUUUCUGGUUGCCGUUGUCAUAAACAACACCACUGUGCAGGCGUCAGUUCGAAUUUGGCACCAACCCCUCCCGAGCGGGUGCAUGCAAAUUGGGUGCCGGCAGACUGACCAAUCCUCGGGAGCCACGGAGCCUUCUCCUGUGCUGGGGUGCAUAUAAGCAGGGCUCCCUGGGUGCCCUGGGUCCCCGUAGAAGCAUCGAGGCAUUCCUGCAAUAAAGGCUGUUGAGAAGAAUUCGACUGUGUCGCGUCGAUCUUGCUUUUUGAGAGCAGACUCCACACCUUGUCUUACUUUGUCACAGUGUGAAGAUCUCUCAAUAGAAGAAUCUAAUUUGCUUUUGUAUUUUCACAUUUUAAGCAUUUCUUACAUAAUAGUUACUAAAAGUAUCCAGAAUAAAUGGCAAAUAGUUA